CAAAAUUUGAGAGAAAUAAACUUUUUGUGAAUAUGGAACAUUUCUGUUUUAUUUCAGCUCAUGAAACAUGGGACCAACACUUUACAUGGUGUAUUUAUAUUUUUGUUCAAUAUCAAACAAACAUGCCUCUCUGACAUGUAAAAUACUGAAAUCACAGCAGCUCUAUUCAUAGAAUUUUUAUCUAGAAUGUUCCAAAACCUUUUCCUACUGAACAUGGCCCUGGUUUUAAAAAUGGCAGUUAUUGGCAACACCAUGGCAACAACACAACCACAACCAACUCUGAUUGGCCAGUCAAAAGACACAACCAACUCUGAUUGGCCAGUCAAAAGACACAACCAACUCUGAUUGGCCAGUCAAAAGACACAACAAACUCUGAUUGGCCAGUCAAAAGACACAACAAACUCUGAUUGGCCAGUUAAGCCAGACAGAGGUACUGUAUGUAGUAAAAAAACAACUUUAAAAAGCAGGAAUAAUAAACAAUAAUAAAACAAUGCAAUACUGUGAGAUCAUGGCACAGAUAUAGACAGACUGACCGGCAGAUAUAUGACCAUAGAAAUAGACACAGGCAGGGUAUAGAUAAUACUGGUGUGGUACUUUAAAAAUACCGCAGCGUUGUUGGAGCAACACUACGUAGUUGUGUGUUCGUAUCCAUGGUUACCAUAGGUAGAGCCCAGCCUCGUUCCAGACACAGCGGAGAUAACGUCAGAGCAGGUCCACUGACUACAUCUCCCAGAGGGCUUUUUCCAAAAUAAAAGUCCCCGUGAUAUCUGCACCGGUUGUUCACGAGUAUUGAGUGAACCUCGUGUCAUGUAAGCUACAACAGUACUGUGUGUCUCUGCGUGAUGGUGGACAAGGUUCAGUUUCAAACUGUCACUUCUAGAGAUAUGGGUUUAACAGAUCCCAAGGUCCUGUUUCAAACUGUCACUUCUAGAGAUAUGGGUUUAACAGAUCCCAAGGUCCUGUUUCAAACUGUCACUUCUAGAGAUAUGGGUUUAACAGAUCCCAAGGUCCUGUUUCAAACUGUCACUUCUAGAGAUAUGGGUUUAACAGAUCCCAAGGUUCCGUUGUUUCCAUAUUGGUCAGUGCGUGACCUGAACUCUUAUUGUGAAACACUUUGUUCCAGAUGCAUUUCCUGGGCUCCAUGUAACAGUUCCAUGACACAGAAUAGCCCACCAGGUAACCAACCAGCCAAGUCCAUAUCUCAGAAAGGUAUAGCCACACCUUUUACUCCAUACUGUAGUUACAGCUCCAUAAUCCAUACAGGGCAGAGGACCAUAAACCAUAGCCAGUCUAUUCCCCAUGUAGGUACGAGGUGAGCCAUGUAAUCCCAUCCCAGGUAGGUCCAUCCCAGAUCAGUUUAUCCAGGUAGGUCCAUCCCAGGUAGCCAUAGACAGGUAGGUCCAUCUCGGGUAGCCAUAGACAGGUAUGUCCAUCUCGGGUAGGUCCAUCCCAGGUAGGUCCAUCCCAGGUAGGUCCAUCCCAGGUAGGUCCAUCCCAGGUAGCCAUAGACAGGUAGGUCCAUCCCAGAUCAGUUUAUCCAGGUAGGUCCAUCCCAGGUAGCCAUAGACAGGUAGGUCCAUCCCAGAUCAGUUUAUCCAGGUAGGUCCAUCCCAGGUAGCCAUAGACAGGUAUGUCCAUCCCAGGUAGCCAUAGACAGGUAUGUCCAUCUCGGGUAGCCACAGACAGGUAGGUCCAUCCCAGGUAGCCAUAGACAGGUAUGUCCAUCCCAGGUAGCCAUAGACAGGUAUGUCCAUCUCGGGUAGCCACAGACAGGUAGGUCCAUCCCAGGUAGCCAUAGACAGGUAUGUCCAUCUCGGGUAGCCAUAGACAGGUAUGUCCAUCUCGGGUAGGUCCAUCCCAGGUAUGUCCAUCCCAGGUAGCCAUAGACAGGUAUGUCCAUCCCAGGUAGCCAUAGAUAGGUAGGUCCAUCCCAGGUAGCCACAGACAGGUAGGUCCAUCCCAGGUAGCCAUAGACAGGUAUGUCCAUCUCGGGUAGGUCCAUCCCAGGUAUGUCCAUCCCAGGUAGCCAUAGACAGGUAUGUCCAUCCCAGGUAGCCAUAGACAGGUAUGUCCAUCCCAGGUAGCCAUAGACAGGUAUGUCCAUACAUGCAGCCAUAGACAGGUAGGUCCAUCCCAGGUAGCCAUAGACAGGUAUGUCCAUACAUGCAGCCAUAGUCCAAGUAAAUCUUAGCCUGCAGGUAUGUCUCCGUCCUCUGUCCCAGGUUAGAUUUGUCCCAGGGCCAGGCUAAACCAGACUUAACCCCGGUACAGUCAUGGUUCUGGCACCAGUGUGGCCCCAGUUAGGCCCUGUGGUCUCAGGACUGGUUGUCCCCAGUAGGGGUUGGUGGUUCGAGUGACAGUUCUUCGUCAGACAGCCCCGUUUCCACAGCGAUCACCAGGGAUGCCACAGACGCACUGCUGGUCAUGGGCUGGAACUCACCUAGAGAGAGAGAGACAGGGGGAGGAGGAGACAAAAGAAGGAUGAGAGAGACCGAGAGAGGGAGAGAGAAAGAGGGAUGAGAGAGAGAAAGAAGAGGGGGGAGGGAGAGAAAGAAAGAGGGAGAGGUGAGGAUGCAAUUCAUUAAAGCUGCCACCAGGUGGCACUAUGAGUGCUGUUUGUGUGUGUGCGUAUGUGUGCGUGUGUGUGCGUGGUGUGACUGUGGGCUGCGUGGUGUGACUGUGCGUGUCGCUAGCCUCGCCCGCCGCCCGGCGCUAGCCUCGCCCGCCGCCCGGCGCUAGCCUCGCCCGCCGCCCGGCGCUAGCCUCGCCCGCCGCUAGUCUCGCCCGCCGCUAGUCUCGCCCGCCGCCUGUCGCUAGUCUCGCCCGCCGCCUGUCGCUAGUCUCGCCCGCCGCCUGUCGCUAGUCUCGCCCGCCGCCUGUCGCUAGUCUCGCCCGCCGCCUGUCGCUAGUCUCGCCCGCCGCCUGUCGCUAGUCUCGCCCGCCGCCUGUCGCUAGUCUCGCCCGCCGCCUGUCGCUAGUCUCGCCCGCCGCCUGUCGCUAGUCUCGCCCGCCGCCUGUCGCUAGUCUGUCGGUAGCUGCGUGUCGGUAGCUGCGUGUCGGUAGCUGCGUGUCGGUAGCUGCGUGUCGGUAGCUGCGUGUCGGUAGCUCGCCUGCGUGUCACUAGUUGCGUGUCACUAGUUGCGUGUCGG
ensembl:lncRNA